AGCGGCAGCGGGAAGUAGCUUGCUACUUUGCCGGCGAGCGGCGGACGGGUGAGUAAUGUCUGGGAAACUGCCCGAUGGAGGGGGAUAACUACUGGAAACGGUGGCUAAUACCGCAUAACGUCUUCGGACCAAAGUGGGGGACCUUCGGGCCUCACACCAUCGGAUGUGCCCAGAUGGGAUUAGCUAGUAGGUGGGGUAACGGCUCACCUAGGCGACGAUCCCUAGCUGGUCUGAGAGGAUGACCAGCCACACUGGAACUGAGACACGGUCCAGACUCCUACGGGAGGCAGCAGUGGGGAAUAUUGCACAAUGGGCGCAAGCCUGAUGCAGCCAUGCCGCGUGUGUGAAGAAGGCCUUCGGGUUGUAAAGCACUUUCAGCGAGGAGGAAGGCAGUCGUGUUAAUAGCACGGUUGAUUGACGUUACUCGCAGAAGAAGCACCGGCUAACUCCGUGCCAGCAGCCGCGGUAAUACGGAGGGUGCAAGCGUUAAUCGGAAUUACUGGGCGUAAAGCGCACGCAGGCGGUUUGUUAAGUCAGAUGUGAAAUCCCCGCGCUUAACGUGGGAACUGCAUUUGAAACUGGCAAGCUAGAGUCUCGUAGAGGGGGG
rnacentral:rRNA from 1 species